rnacentral:rRNA from 1 species
UACGGAGGGUGCAAGCGUUGCUCGGAAUUAUUGGGCGUAAAGGGUAGGUAGGUGGUCUUAUUUGUGUGGGGUGAAAGCCUUGGGCUUAACUCAAGAAGUGCCCCGCAAACGGUAAGACUAGAGUCUUGGAGAGGCUAGCGGAAUUCCCGGUGUAGCGGUGAAAUGCGUAGAGAUCGGGAGGAACACCAGAGGCGAAGGCGGCUAGCUGGGACGUGACUGACGCUGAGACGCGAAAGCGUGGGGAGCAAACAGG